rnacentral:SRP_RNA from 1 species
GUAUAAUAUUUGAGCACGAGAAAACGUGCGCUUUGAGCGAAUCCAAAAGGGCAAGGCGGUUGAAGAGACCGUGGAAUAUGCGAGCGGACAGGUCUGCGCGGCGAGACACCGUGAACCAUGUCAGGCGGGGGACCGAGCAGCAUUAAGCGGAUCGUCUGGUGCGAUGCAGGUCGCCUGUCCGUUCACAUAUUCCACGAACGGCCGCCUUGCUUUUGGUUUAUAA